UUUCUCUAUUCGGCAGUACAUAUACUAAAAUUGGAACGAUACAGAGAAGAUUAGCAUGGCCCCUGCGCAAGGAUGACGCAAAUUGUAAAUUACAAUGACAAUUUGAU